UACGUAGGGGGCUAGCGUUGUCCGGAAUCAUUGGGCGUAAAGCGCGUGUAGGCGGUUCGGUAAGUCCGCUGUGAAAGUCGGGGGCUCAACCCUCGGAUGCCGGUGGAUACUGUCGGACUAGAGUACGGAAGAGGCGAGUGGAAUUCCUGGUGUAGCGGUGAAAUGCGCAGAUAUCAGGAAGAACACCAAUAGCGAAGGCAGCUCGCUGGGACGUUACUGACACUGAGGCGCGAAAGCGUGGGGAGCGAACAGG
rnacentral:rRNA from 1 species